GACGAACGCUGGCGGCGUGCUUAACACAUGCAAGUCGAACGGAAAGGCCCUGCUUUUGUGGGGUGCUCGAGUGGCGAACGGGUGAGUAACACGUGAGUAACCUGCCCUUGACUUUGGGAUAACUUCGGGAAACUGGGGCUAAUACCGGAUAGGAGCUCCUGCUGCAUGGUGGGGGUUGGAAAGUUUCGGCGGUUGGGGAUGGACUCGCGGCUUAUCAGCUUGUUGGUGGGGUAGUGGCUUACCAAGGCUUUGACGGGUAGCCGGCCUGAGAGGGUGACCGGCCACAUUGGGACUGAGAUACGGCCCAGACUCCUACGGGAGGCAGUAGUGGGGAAUAUUGCACAAUGGGCGGAAGCCUGAUGCAGCAACGCCGCGUGCGGGAUGACGGCCUUCGGGUUGUAAACCGCUUUCGCCUGUGACGAAGCGUGAGUGACGGUAAUGGGUAAAGAAGCACCGGCUAACUACGUG
rnacentral:rRNA from 1 species